UAAAGUUUAGAUCUGACUCAGCCGAGGACACCUUCACACACUCAGCAGUGUUCAGCCAGCCUGUGGCAGCCCAUGCAGGGCUGGCCAGGGCCUGGGCCUAAGCCCUGCGCAGCUGAUGUUCCUCCCCCCCGGGGCAGGUCUGAACGGGAUGAACAGCAGCAUCUGGGAGCAUUUUGCCUCUGGAAGCUUCUCCCCAGGCACUUCCCCUGCCUUCCUAUCAGGGCCAGGGGCUGCUGAGCUGGCCCGGCUUCGGCAAGAGCUAGAUGAAGCUAACGGCACCAUCAAGCAGUGGGAGGAGUCCUGGAAGCAGGCCAAGCAGGCUUGUGAUGCCUGGAAGAAGGAAGCCGAGGAGGCCGGAGAGCGGGCCAGUGCAGCUGGAGCAGAGUGUGA
rnacentral:lncRNA from 1 species